UGGCGCAGCAGGGCGUCGGCCUUGGCGCUGUGCAGGUUGGCGCCCUGCACCAGCAGGGUCCAUUCCUUCUGUUUCAGC
rnacentral:tRNA from 1 species